UUCAAUUGGGCAAAUUGGAUGUUGCUAUGUUCAAUUAGUUCAUGUGAUGUUCUCCCAAACAUGGUACAAGUAUUAACUUAAUAUGAACAGUAAUUUAAUACCCCUUUAAUACUACAACCAAACACACCCUGAUAUAAUAAUCACUUUGAAUGUGCAGAAAAAAUCAUAGAGCUUGUUGUUGGUGCGCAGACGCGAUACACUUACAUGUCAGGGUCAUAAAAUGAUGGUGAUGAAAACUUUACGCUUGAUAGCUCUACUCUUUUUAGCCAAAGGUGGUCUUAAAGAUUGUAGAAUACAUAUUUGAAAUUUUGUUAUUUCAAUAUUCUUUGCACUGGAUACAGAUAUGAUGUCAAAAGGUUGUACGUGUAUCAGUCUUAAAUACUAUACCUGAUAAAUAAGAAAUAUAAGAAAAUUUUCAUCAAUAUUCGGAAAUACUUCUUGUUAAACAAAUGCAAAUCAGAAUGAGAUGAUUUUAUGGUUGUCUCAUUGAGGUCUUGAAUACAGUUUAUAUUCUGCUUGUAAUUUCCCCCAAUUUAAGAAACUAGAUCCAAGUCCUUUAACCACCAGAAUCAGAAGCUUGCGCUAUCUUGUUCAAUCAGAGAAAACGAAGCACGACUGGUAUUAUUUUUAUUUGGGUAGUUUUUAGGAACCUCCCCUGAGGUUUAAUGUAUUGACAUUUAGAUAGAAAGUAUGCCCGUAAUCACAGAGACCUCCCCUGCUGUCUGUACUCAGUUUUCUUGACCGUUAGUUGACUAGUGAUAUGUUAAAAAUACACUUGAUUAGAGAAAAGACCUAAACACCCUCAGAGCUAACUAUCAGAUUAAUCAUUACACUUUAACUCGCUUGGGAAACGAGGACUGAACAUCAAAUAUUCAUCAAUUGUAAAAAGUAAAAACAUUACUAGGAAACUAGGGCUAGCGAUAGUAUACAGUAAAAUAAAAUUUAAAAAUUAAGUACCCUUAGUGCUAAAUAUCAAAUUAAUCAUUACACUUUUAACACCCUUGGGAAAUAAAAAUUUGAC
rnacentral:lncRNA from 1 species